rnacentral:rRNA from 1 species
AUUGAACGUUGGCGGCGUGGAUUAGGCAUGCAAGUCGUACGGACCAGGGUAGCAAUAUUCUGGUUAGUGGCGAAAGGGAGAGUAAUACGUGGAUUAUCUACCCCCGGGACCGGGAUAGCUGCGGGAAACUGCAGGUAAUACCGGAUGACGUCUCCGGACCAAAUGGUGUGAUUCCGCCAGGGGAUGAGUCCGCGUCCUAUCAGCUUGUUGGCGGGGUAACGGCCCACCAAGGCUUUGACGGGUACGGGGUGUGAGAGCAUGCCCCCGCUCACUGGGACUGAGACACCGCCCAGACACCUACGGGUGGCUGCAGUCGAGGAUCUUCGGCAAUGGGCGCAAGCCUGACCGAGCGACGCCGCGUGCGGGAUGAAGGCCUUCGGGUUGUAAACCGCUGUCAGGGGGGAGGAAGGCCUGGUGCAGAGCCGGGUUUGACCUAUCCCCAGAGGAAGUCUGGGCUAAGUCCGUGCCAGCCGCCGCCGUAAUAC